CACUACUCUAAACGGUGGAUCACUCGGCUCGUGUGUCGAUGAAGAGCGCAGCCAGCUGCGUGAAUUARUGUGAAUUGCAGGACACAUUGAACAUCGAUAUCUUGAACGCAUAUUGCGGCCUCGGGUAAUCCCGAGGCCACGCCUGUCUCAGGGUCGGUUACAAGUCGAUCGCCGAGCGGCUCUCACUCGGCGCGCUGGGCGUCGCAG
rnacentral:rRNA from 1 species